GGGUCGGGAUGCUGAAGUCGGCCGGGGGCUGCCGCUAGGCGCUUGGUACCACCCCGUGUUGAUGCUCUCCAGUUACCCUGUAGGCGGGUCUCGGUCACAGAAAGAAAAGAGAUCUUUGGGAGCUUGGAUGGAGGAACAGGAAAAGAGGAGCCUGGCUUUUUUGGAAAAUUGGCAGCGGUGACAUACGGGAAACUGAAAUCUUUAUCUCAUCUCAUCCUUUGUAUAUUCAUUUUGGAUUUGCUGAAGAAAAUUAAAAGGCAAGCCCUACCACUCCUAUCGCACAGUAUUGAUGAGCGACAUCAAUGGAGCUCCCCACCUCCACCCCAGGGUUGGAACUUGACUGCUUUUGUCAUUUCACAGAACAGCUGAAGGAUUCUGUCCCCACCUCAUCCUCUGUGAAGUCUGCUGGACAUACCUGCCAGAAUCUUCUGAAGAUGACGUUUGCUGAACACUGACCCACAGGGGUUUGAUGGAUUAUUGACAAUGAGACAAGCUGUCUUUUCAUCAAUCAGAGAUUCCAGUUGUUUCAGGUCAAUUUCCCAAGACUUCUCUGGCUGAAGAGAAAGAAAGGAUGAGACUAAGAUGAUUCUGAAACAUUUAGGGGGAUCCUCACUUAUCUCAAGGGUCCAGUGUAAGCAAUAAAGUCUGUCUCUGGCUUCAGCCACCA